CCCUUAGAUGUUCUGGGCCGCACGCGUGCUACACUGAGUGGAUCAGCGGGUCAGGUUGCGCGAAAGCGUUUCCUAAUCUUUAAAUCCGCUCGUGAUGGAGAUUGACGGUUGCAAUUUUCUGUCAUGAACGAGGAAUACCUUGUAAGCGCGGGUCAUCAUCCCGCGCUGAAUACGUCCCUGCCCUUUGUACACACCGCCCGUCGCUCCUACCGAUUGAGUGGUCCGGUGAGGCUUUGGGAUCUGAGCGGAAAGAGCGUUUCGCUGUUUCUGCUCGGAAAACUCAGUCGAACCUUAUCAUUUAGAGGAAGGAGAAGUCGCAACA
rnacentral:rRNA from 1 species